UACACUCCUACGGGAGGCAGCAGUGGGGAAUUUUGGACAAUGGGCGAAAGCCUGAUCCAGCAAUGCCGCGUGUGUGAAGAAGGCCUUCGGGUUGUAAAGCACUUUUGUCCGGAAAGAAAUCCUUGGCUCUAAUACAGUCGGGGGAUGACGGUACCGGAAGAAUAAGCACCGGCUAACUACGUGCCAGCAGCCGCGGUAAUACGUAGGGUGCGAGCGUUAAUCGGAAUUACUGGGCGUAAAGCGUGCGCAGGCGGUUUGCUAAGACCGAUGUGAAAUCCCCGGGCUCAACCUGGGAACUGCAUUGGUGACUGGCAGGCUAGAGUAUGGCAGAGGGGGGUAGAAUUCCACGUGGAGCAGUGAAAUGCGUAGAGAUGUGGAGGAAUACCGAUGGCGAAGGCAGCCCCCUGGGCCAAUACUGACGCUCAUGCACGAAAGCGUGGGGAGCAAACAGGAUUAGAAACCCCGGUAGUCCCAUGAU
rnacentral:rRNA from 1 species